rnacentral:rRNA from 1 species
UACGUAGGGCGCAAGCGUUUAUCCGGAAUUAUUGGGCGUAAAGAGCUCGUAGGCGGUUUGUCGCGUCUGCCGUGAAAGUCCGGGGCUCAACUCCGGAUCUGCGGUGGGUACGGGCAGACUAGAGUGAUGUAGGGGAGACUGGAAUUCCUGGUGUAGCGGUGGAAUGCGUAGAGAUCGGGAAGAACAUCAGUGGCGAAGGCGGCCUGCUGGGCUGUUGCUGACGCUGAGGCGCGACAGCGUGGGGAGCAAACAGG